CCUACGGGGGGCAGCAGUGAGGAAUAUUGGUCAAUGGCCGCAGGGCUGAACCAGCCAAGUCGCGUGAGGGAUGACGGUCCUAUGGAUUGUAAACCUCUUUUGUCAGGGAGCAAAGGGCGCCACGUGUGGCGCUUUGCGAGUACCUGAAGAAAAAGCAUCGGCUAACUCCGUGCCAGCAGCCGCGGUAAUACGGAGGAUGCGAGCGUUAUCCGGAUUUAUUGGGUUUAAAGGGUGCGCAGGCGGAAUGUUAAGUCAGCGGUAAAAUUUCGGGGCUCAACCCCGUCGUGCCGUUGAAACUGGCGUUCUUGAGUGAGCGAGAAGUAUGCGGAAUGCGUGGUGUAGCGGUGAAAUGCAUAGAUAUCACGCAGAACUCCGAUUGCGAAGGCAGCAUACCGGCGCUCAACUGACGCUCAUGCACGAAAGCGUGGGUAUCGAACAGGAUUAGAUACCCCAGUAGUC
rnacentral:rRNA from 1 species